UACGAAGGGGGCUAGCGUUGCUCGGAAUCACUGGGCGUAAAGCGCACGUAGGCGGAUGUGUCAGUCAGGGGUGAAAUCCCGGAGCUCAACUUCGGAACUGCCUUUGAUACAGCACGUCUUGAGUCCGAUAGAGGUGGGUGGAAUUCCUAGUGUAGAGGUGAAAUUCGUAGAUAUUAGGAAGAACACCGGUGGCGAAGGCGGCGACCUGGGUAGAUACUGACGCUGAGGCGCGAAAGCGUGGGGAGCAAACAGG
rnacentral:rRNA from 1 species